rnacentral:rRNA from 1 species
GGUUUAAUUCGAUGAUACGCGAGGAACCUUACCCGGGCUUGAACUGCAGGAGAACGAUUCAGAGAUGAUGAGGUCCUUCGGGACUCCUGUGGAGGUGCUGCAUGGUUGUCGUCAGCUCGUGCCGUGAGGUGUCGGCUUAAAGUGCCAUAACGAGCGCAACCCCUCUCCGUAGUUGCCAUCGGGUGAUGCCGGGCACUCUGCGGACACUGCCACCGUAAGGUGUGA